UUCCCCUGGUUUUCCUCCAAUCUCUUCACUCCUCUUGCUCAUUCUUGCUCGAUAAAUAGAGGUGUGCCACCAAGCUCAAGACAGGGUUAUUUCUUCUUCUCCAAAUCCACUCUCACUGAAGACACAUGUUACCAGCCCCUCUUUUAUAGCACCUACACUCAUCUUCAAGAAAAAGUGUCCGCUAGUGGAGUCUUCUUUGCCAGGACUUGGUAAGUUGUUCUGUACCAAGUGCUCCACCAUCUCAAAGCUCAACACAACUAAACGUCUUCCUUUGUUACUAGAAAUCAGGACAACUUUCAGGAAAUGUCCACCUAGCAACUCAACAAUCCAGGCUACUUCAGUCCUAUGGUUCCCUCAGCUCAAUCGUGGUUGCUUUAGAUUGUGAGGCAGGGAAGUGACCACUACAGUCAUGCCAAAAUGUCCUAUCUUUUUCCUUAGGUACAAAGCACACCCUAAUUUACCACAACCCAUUGAUCCCAACCAAAUGCACUGUUCCCCAUAACCACAAGGAGAAGGAGGAAAAUUAUAUCACUUUGUGCCCAGGAAGAGAGGAAAACUGAGUUAUGUUGAAUGCUAGAAAUUUCUUCAGCAUCCUUACAAUUCCCUCUUCUCUUCCUGCUGGGGCCUCUUCCAUUUUUGCCUGUUCAAGUUCAGAUCUAAGUGAGCAAUUUAACAGUUACCCUGUUUCCUCUUCCUCCUACUGAAACAUCAGUGUAGAUGUCAGCCAUUACUCUGCAGGACCUACAGGGACAAGGACCUUCUGUUUCAUUCAUCAACAUGUUCUUGGCAUCUAGCACUGUGUAUCUCAAUAAAACUUGCUUAAAUUGA